rnacentral:rRNA from 1 species
AUUGAACGCUGGCGGCAUGCUUUACACAUGCAAGUCGAACGGUAACAGGUCUUCGGAUGCUGACGAGUGGCGAACGGGUGAGUAAUGCAUCGGAACGUGCCCAGUCGUGGGGGAUAACGCAGCGAAAGCUGCGCUAAUACCGCAUACGAUCUAUGGAUGAAAGCGGGGGACCGUAAGGCCUCGCGCGAUUGGAGCGGCCGAUGUCAGAUUAGGUAGUUGGUGGGGUAAAGGCCCACCAAGCCAACGAUCUGUAGCUGGUCUGAGAGGACGACCAGCCACACUGGGACUGAGACACGGCCCAGACUUCUACGGGAGGCAGCAGUGGGGAAUUUUGGACAAUGGGCGCAAGCCUGAUCCAGCAAUGCCGCGUGCAGGAAGAAGGCCUUCGGGUUGUAAACUGCUUUUGUACGGAACGAAACGGCUCUCUCUAAUACAGAGGGCUAAUGACGGUACCGUAAGAAUAAGCACCGGCUAACUACGUGCCAGCCGCCGCGGUAAUAC